rnacentral:misc_RNA from 1 species
GAAAUGCGAUAAGUAAUGUGAAUUGCAGAAUUCAGUGAAUCAUCAAAUCUUUGAACGCACGUUGCGCCCCCUGGUAUUCCGGGGGGCAUGCCUGUUCGAGCGUCAUUUCACCACUCAAGCCUCGCUUGGUAUUGGGCGACGCGGUCCGCCGCGCGCCUCAAAUCGACCGGCUGGGUCUUUCGUCCCCUCAGCGUUGUGGAAACUAUUCGCUAAAGGGUGCCGCGGGAGGCCACGCCGUAAAACAACCCCAUUUCUAAGGUUGACCUCGGAUCAGGUAGGGAUACCCGCUGAACUUAAGC